AGCAGCCGCGGUAAUUCCAGCUCCAAUAGCGUAUAUUAAAGUUGUUGCAGUUAAAAAGCUCGUAGUUGAAUUUCGGGAUCAAUUAGUCGGUCGUGCCUCUGGUACGUACUGGUUUUAUUGGUUCCUCCCUUCUGACGAAACAUGAUGUCAUUAAUUUGGUGUCGUGGAGAAUCAGGACUGUUACCUUGAAAAAAUUAGAGUGUUUAUAGCAGGCUAACGCUUGAAUACAUUAGCAUGGAAUAAUGAAAUAGGACGUUCGACCCUAUUUUGUUGGUUUCUAGGAUCGACGUAAUGAUUAAUAGGGAUAGUUGGGGGCAUUAGUAUUCAAUUGUCAGAGGUGAAAUUCUUGGAUUUAUUGAAGACUAACUACUGCGAAAGCAUUUGCCAAGGAUGUUUUCAUUAAUCAAGAACGAAAGUUAGGGGAUCGAAGACGAUCAGAUACCGUCGUAGUCUUAACCAUAAACUAUGCCGACUAGGGAUCGGAUGAUGUUAAUUUUUUAAUGAC
rnacentral:misc_RNA from 1 species